CUACGGGGGGCACCAGUGGGGAAUAUUGGACAAUGGGGGCAACCCUGAUCCAGCAAUACCGCGUGUGUGAAGAAGGCCUGAGGGUUGUAAAGCACUUUCAGCGAGGAGGAAGGCUGAUGCGUAAAUAGCGUAUCAGAUUGACGUUACUCGCAGAAGAAGCACCGGCUAACUCUGUGCCAGCAGCCGCGGUAAUACAGAGGGUGCAAGCGUUAAUCGGAAUUACUGGGCGUAAAGCGUGCGUAGGCGGAAGCUUAAGUCAGAUGUGAAAGCCCCGGGCUCAACCUGGGAACUGCAUCUGAUACUGGGCAUCUAGAGUAUGGCAGAGGAUAGUAGAAUUUCUGGUGUAGCGGUGAAAUGCGUAGAUAUCAGAAGGAAUACCGGUGGCGAAGGCGACUGUCUGGGCUAAUACUGACGCUGAGGUACGAAAGCGUGGGUAGCGAACAGGAUUAGAUACCCCUGUAGUC
rnacentral:rRNA from 1 species